CACAAAACUGAUCAAGAAGCCUUCUGAGAGCAGUCUAUAUAGUCCCAACCCCAGACUUCCAAGGCCUCACGGAACGAAGCACAGGCACGACACAGUUAGCUUCAAAGACAAGAAAGCUGCAGCCACUGGCAAGAGCCCUCUGCACGUCGCAGGACCUCAGCUUGGCUGAAUCUCCCAACACCGCCGAACAGUAAUAAUACCUAAUAAUACUGCCCCAUUAUUGUUGCUAUAGCAACAAACACAAUGUAAUUGAUCCAGCUGGCUCACUUAGUAGAAACCUAACGAACGACAAAAAAAAAAAAAAAAAAAAAAAAAAGUGGUUGGGAAGAGCUGAAGGAGACAUAGAAACAGAAUAACUUCACAUGAAAAGCCUGUCAUCUCAGACAUCAGUAGAGGGGGGAAAGCACAGACAGACCCAGAUUCUAACUGUGACUUCACAACUGACUGCGUGACCUCGGGUGAGUUACACAUCUCAGAACAUGCAUGGUCUCAUUAGGACAAUAAUCCCAUUUCAUAGGUGAUCAUGAAGUUGAAUGUGAAGCUUGGUCAAGCCCGCGGUCCUCAAAGCAAGGUAGACGAUGGUGAAUAUGAAGAAUUUGAAGCCUUCCCAAAACUACAGAAUAUCAUAAAAAACUACCUGCCCAUCAACCACGCUUUCAAGUGUUCCUAUUUUGCUGGAUUUUCUCAGAUUUAUUUUUUGGAAAUGAAAACUCAAAUUACAGACUUAACUAGGGUUCCUGUCACCUCUCCCAUCUCAUCCUCCUCCCUCCAAGAGGAAGCCACUAUGUCCAUACUACAAAUUUUCAGGUGCAGAAUGUAA
rnacentral:lncRNA from 1 species